AGAGUAUACGGGGGAUGCCUUGGCGCAGAAAGGCGAUGAAGGACGUGACUAGCUGCGAUAAGCCUCGGUGAGCCGCUAAAUAGGCUUUGACCCGGGGAUCUCCGAAUGGGGAAACCCAUCCCGAUGAAGUCGGGAUAUCCAUACCUGAAUACAUAGGGUAUGGAAGCGAACCCAGGGAAGUGAACCAUCUUAGUACCUGGAGGAAUAGAAAGCAACCGCGAUUCCCUAAGUAGCGGCGAGCGAACGGGGAACAGCCUAAACCACAUACAUGCCAAGCUCGUGUGUUUUGUGUAUGUGGAGUCGCGGGGCCUGACAUGGCUCUGACACGAUGGAGCCGAAGAGUUACAAAAGACAAUCCUAGUAGAAUAUCUUGGAAAGGGUAACCAUAGAAGGUGAUAGUCCUGUACACGAAAGGUUAUGUCUCUCUUUAGUCAGGUUCCCAAGUACCACGGGACACGAGAAAUCUUGUGGGAAUCUGGGUGGACCAUCACCCAAGGCUAAAUACUAAUCUGCGACCGAUAGUGAACUAGUACCGUGAGGGAAAGGUGAAAAGAACCCCUGUUAGGGGAGUGAAAAGUACCUGAAACCGUAUACUUACAAGCAGUCGGAGCCCCGCUUGCGGGGUGACGGCGUGCCUUUUGCAUAAUGAGCCGGCUAGUUACUUUAUGUGGCAAGGUUAAGCUUGUCUCAAGUGGAGCCGUAGCGAAAGCGAGUCUGAAUAGGGCGCGUAGUCGCAUGGAGUAGACGCGAAGCUGAGUGAUCUAGCCUUGGCCAGGGUGAACAUCGGGUAACACCGAUGGGAGGCCCGAACCGCUACAGGUUGAAAACUGUUCGGAUGAGCUGAGGCUAGGGGUGAAAGACCAAUCAAACUCAGUGAUAGCUCGUUCUCUCCGAAAUAGCUUUAGGGCUAGCCUCGUACCAUUGGUAUUGGGGGUAGAGCACUGGAUGGCCUAGGGCCUGGAAACAUGUACCGAAUCCAACCAAACUCCGAAUCCCAAUAACCUCAGUACGGGAGUCAGACUGCGGGGGCUAAGCUCCGUAGUCGAAAGGGAAACAACCCAGAUCGUCAGCUAAGGUCCCUAAAUGUAUGCUAAGUGGGUAAGGUGGUGAAGACGCAAAGACAACCAGGAGGUUGGCUUAGAAGCAGCCAUCCUUUAAAGAAAGCGUAACAGCUCACUGGUCAAGUAUUUUUGCGCCGACAAUGUACCGGGGCUCAAGCAUACUACCGAAGCUACGAAUCAUUUUUGAUGGUAGGAGAGCAUUCCAAGGCGAGUGAAGCUUCACCGUGAGGUGGAGUGGACGGCUUGGAAGAGACUCUGCCGGCAUGAGUAGCGAAAUUGCGGUAAAAACCCGCAACACCGAAAGCCUAAGGUUUCCUGAGGAAGGUCAGUCCGCUCAGGGUUAGUCGGUGCCUAAGCCGAGGUCGAAAGACGUAGGCGAUGGACAGCAGGUCAACAUUCCUGCACCACCUGUACAACGUUUGUACGAUGGGGGGACGCGGACGGAUAGGCAUACACACGAUUGAAAAUGUGUGGCCGCCAAUUAGGAGGGGAUCCUAGGAAAAUCCGGGAUCCUAUUAACUCUGAGUACGGCGGGGAAGAUUUCCUACGGGAUUUCCAACUUGCUGAAUCCAUGCCGCCUAGAAAAGCCUCUAAGGAGUCGUACAGGUGACCGUACCGUAAACCGACACAGGUAGGCGAGGAGAGAAUCCUAAGGUGAACGUGGAAACCCUCUUUAAGGAACUCGGCAAAUUUACCCCGUAACUUCGGAAUAAGGGGAGCCUCGUGUAGUGUGAACCCGCCUUGCGUGGGGGAGCACGAAGAGGUCGCAGUGAAAUGGCCCAGGCGACUGUUUACUAAAAACACAGGUCUCUGCAAAGUCAACAAAACGACGUAUAGGGACUGACGCCUGCCCGGUGCCGGAAGGUUAAAGGGAGGGGUUAGCUUCGGCGAAGCUCUGAACUGAAGCCCCGGUAAACGGACGGCGGCCGUAACUAUAACGGUCCUAAGGUAGCGAAAUUCCUUGUCGGGUAAGUUCCGACCCGCACGAAAGGCGUAACGACUUGGGCACUGUCUCAAAGAGGGGCACGGCGAAAUUGUAGUACCGGUGAAGAUGCCGGUUACCUGCCGUUGGACGGAAAGACCCCGGCACCUUAACUGCAGCCUAGCAUUGGAUUUUGGGUUAUUAUGUGCAGGAUAGGUGGGAGACUAUGAAAUUCUGGCGCUAGCCAGGAUGGAGUCACCGGUGAGAUACCACUCUUAAUAUUCUGAAGUUCUAACCUGCAGCCGUGAUCCGGCUGAGGAACAGUGUUAGGUGGGUAGUUUGACUGGGGCGGUCGCCUCCCAAAAUGUAACGGAGGAGUCCUAAGGUUCCCUCAGACUGUUUGGAAAUCAGUCGAAG
rnacentral:rRNA from 1 species